GUAUGGCCCUGACAGAGUCAAGUACUUAGGCCCAUUCUCCGGUGAGCCCCCAAGCUACCUCAAGGGCGAGUUCCCCGGUGACUACGGCUGGGACACCGCUGGACUCUCAGCCGACCCAGAGACCUUCGCCAAGAACCGUGAGCUCGAAGUGAUCCACUCCAGAUGGGCCAUGCUCGGAGCUCUUGGAUGCGUUUUCCCCGAGCUCUUGUCCCGCAACGGUGUCAAGUUCGGCGAGGCUGUGUGGUUCAAGGCCGGAGCCCAGAUCUUCAGCGAGGGCGGUCUCGACUACCUGGGAAACCCUAGCUUGGUCCAUGCACAGAGCAUCUUGGCCAUCUGGGCUACCCAAGUUGUGUUGAUGGGAGCAGUUGAGGGAUACAGAAUUGCCGGCGGACCCCUCGGAGAGGUGACCGACCCCCUUUACCCCGGCGGAAGCUUCGACCCCUUGGGCCUUGCUGACGACCCAGAAGCCUUUGCCGAGCUCAAGGUGAAGGAGCUCAAGAAUGGAAGGUUGGCCAUGUUCUCCAUGUUCGGAUUCUUUGUCCAGGCCAUCGUCACCGGAAAGGGACCAUUGGAGAACCUUGCCGACCACCUCGCUGACCCAGUCGCCAACAAUGCCUGGAACUACGCCACAAACUUUGUUCCCGGAAAGUGAGAGCUCAGGAGUUGUCUUGUACUUUCGUUUGUAUUGUUGUCGGUGAUGUAAAUUUGGUACCAAGUAUUGGACAACAAUAAUUUGAACUAUGUGCUACAAUAUGUGUCUGAAAUUAAGAGGUUACAUGGUUCAGAUCCACCUAAAAUCUUUCCUCCAAACUGGAUUUUUUUAUUUCAAAAAACCUCGAUUCAAUUUAGGCAUAACUACAACUCAAUCUAUUCCUUUACUGGAACAACGAUUUUUCUUGAGUACAUACAAAUACCAACAUUUAGUAUCGACACAUGUUAGUUUGAGUGUUAAUCCCACCCAUGUACGUUUAUCUUAUGCUACUGGUUUGAAAUCCGAAUAAAGAAGAGAAAGUGCAUAAGAUAGUCGACAACCAACACUUUAUUCUUCAUAUCGAAUCCUUAAAAUAUGAAUCCUAAACGAACAUAUCAGUUUGAGUGUUGUUUUUGAUUCAACAGAUUAAACUGAGGGACAGAUGACCGUUGAUCAAAUAUGUGCCGGCAGGAUCCGAAUCAAAUCAUUCCGAGUUUACGACCAGUGCGAGCUCGGUUAUUUUAAUUUGCUUCUACGAAGGAAAAAGAUCCAACAAUUAAAAGGUCGUACCCAGUGCACAAGGCUCCCGCUUUACGCAGGGUCUGGGAGAGGUGAAUGUCGGCUAGCCUUACCCCCAUUUUAUGGAAAAAGAUCCAACAAUUACGAGAAUAAAAUAUUGAAGCAUUCAAACGACAAUUUGUAUUGCUCAAGAUGGAGAUGAUUUUGAACAUUUAUUUGUUUAAUCUCUCUUCUAUAUUUUGCGCAGAUAAAAUGGCCUGAAAGAUAUACAGCCAACGACGGCAACAACAAAGCCUUAUCUCACUGAGUGGCGUGUACAAGAGUUUUGUAAUUAUAGUAAGAACCUAAUCAUUAGCAUACAACAACAACAGCUGGUUUUAUGAACAAAUAAAUGGCGAUCGAAUGUUAAAAAAUGAACAUUUGUACGAAGGCCGACUGUUAAAACCACCUCUGUCGCUACCAGCAUUGAAGCAUAAACCGUGCAGAACUUGAACAUAUUCGAUCUCAAGCAUGACCCUAGUCAGAUUACUUCCUUUAAAAAAUAUGCAUCCAUAUAUUGAGCUUACCAGUCUUAGCUCCAACUUGUCAGAGACGAAGUCACAUUUGUUUCGCCAAAUAAAGCGUCGACAUGUCUGGUUUAGCGAGGUAUCGCAAAGCUCAAGUGCGAGCGGCUACCCUUGCUCUGGCCACAGACUUAGAGUAUAGUUCUUCGUAUUGUGAUGCAGAAGUAUCCCAACUGAAAUCUAUAUUCAUGACCUUCUGAACAAGCUGUUGCCAAAUAUCAGGGUUAUUCGUGUAGAGGUCGAAAGCACGUUCCAUAGCACCGUUUAAUCCCUGUCGGCAUUUCCAAGUCAGGAUACAGUUAAUCAUGGACAGGGAAAACUAAAAUACUGAAGUGGAGAAAAAUCAUGAGAAUAACGGAGACAGAUGAUGCAAGGAUGUCCUAUCAAAUUCCGAGCCUCGGGCACCACCAAUGCCAGAUAAAAAAGAAGAAUGAAAGAAAAGAAAAACAAGAAUGUGUAUGUGUGCGAGAUUUACCUGUUCGUCAGGAGUCAAGAACGAAUAUCCAUUCCGAAACUGAAGAGGUACGGUGUCAUCAUCAACAUCAAAGACACUGCAGACAAAGUAUAUAAGGAAUUAAGUUUACUCUUUAACGAAUAUAACAUAAAUCGCUAGUAGAAGAUACAGGCAAUGGAUACCCACCUAUCAUUUAGACCACCAGUUUUUCUUGCAAUGGGUAUAGAACCGUAUCUCAUGGCUAUCAUCUGCCCAAGAAAAAUAAGACAUUAAUCCAGCAAUACGUAGUGACUAGUGUGCAGAAGUUUUGCACAGGUAAGAGAACAGACUUUACCUGUGUAAGUCCACAAGGCUCAAAGAUAGACGGGAUGAUGAACAUAUCAGAAGCAGCGUAAAUGGUAUGGGAAAGAGAAUCAUCAUACUUCAAAAUCAACCGAAUAUGAUCAUGAUUCGCAAAAUGACUUGCAAUACCCUCAAAUUCCCUCUACAGUAGAAAACACAGCAAGAAACCUUUCAGUUAAUGGUUCUACUAAUAAGUAUUUACAACCACUUGUUAAUCAAAUAAGCCCGACAAACACACCACAAAGAACCCAACACACGAUAUUAAAUUGGACUUGAACCCAGAAUCUUAGUAAUAUAUUCGAUUAGAGAAUAGGUAUAAUGUUUGAUAAUCCAUUAAUCUUAACAAUAUAUUUAUAUGAUAAGAGACUGCCCAGACAUGUCCCUUCUUGAGCAUAUAUAACAACAUAAAAUUCUAACAGUAACGAACAUAGCCAGGAUAUAAUAUCAAAACGGAAGAUAAAGCAGUGCCUGAAUAUGAUGCACUGGGCUAGAACCGAGAAGAACAAACUGUCCUCCGAGCUCCAAUGUUCGAUAUAUCGCAUGUCUGAUAAGAUGUACACCUUUCUGUGGCACCAAUCUUGUUAUGCAGCCCACCUAUUCAAGGAGUGAUCAAACAGUUUCAACUAAGGACUAAAGUUGCUUGACCAAUCACUCAUCUGGCUUACCGAAAAUAGAAUAUGAUGCCAUUUUAUGGAGUGCGAAAAUCAAAUUUAAUAGAAAAUCAAAUUACCAAUGGCCUCUUGACAUCUGCCGAAGAAAGCCGCAGAAUUCUUCUUAAUGCUUCCUUAUUUUCUGCUUUACCCUGACGAUCAUUAGCACUGUACUGUACUUUGAGAUAUGCAUCAGUGGCAGGAUUCCACGCAUCAGCGUCAAUACCAUUUAGAAUUCCAACGAACUUCUUAGAAUGGAAGUUUAGUGUUGAAUGGAGACCAUGUCCUCCCUGUGAUCAUAAAUAAACAACUAUUUUUAUACAAACGGAAGUUCAAGAAUAUCCAAUAACAUGGAAGCAUGAAAUGAUACAUCAGGCAAACCAUAUGACUGACACAAAAAUUCGACAAAUUGGCUAACUACACAAGACUUUUCACCCAUAGCAUCUUAAUCAAUUUCAAGGCUGUCUACCGUAAAGUUAUUUUGACUAUGCCAUGAAAGUUCAAAACAGAGACCAUGAUGUAUUUUUGCAUGAGUAGGGAAGAGAAAUGUUGUUCUCUUUUCUCAUCUGUGAAGUGGUACUUAUGCCCAAAAACAGAAUAAAAGUGGGAUAUUGAGUGUCCAACAAGAAGAACCUAUUGAUUAGGAGCCACAUAAUUUACUAGAGUCCAACACCUGAUGACUUCUAUAUCAAAGCUCUCAUAGAAAAGCACAUUUUUUAAAGUUUUUCUUUCAUCUUGAAGAGGCCAACAUCAUCUCAACACAAAUCCAAAAACAAAAUCAUACUCAGAUGUUGUUAUUCCUAACAUGUCUGGAAUCUGGAUUACUACUUAUACAAGAGAGACAUAUUUACACAAUUUAUGACAGAAAUUAACAUUUGGUGAAAAUAAUUAGAUUCUCCAAAAUCAAAUGUUAAAAGCAAACAACGUCUCUAGGCUGGGACAGGGCAAGCAAUUUGAAUUUGAAUCUGAUAUCUAUAGGAACUCGUAAGUAUGAGCAAAAGCCAUACCUCAGCAGUCCGCACCUCUUGCGCAUAGGUGGGCGAUACAGUUGUCACAAUAUUGGAGAAUACAACUGCACCCUUAAAGAGGAAAAACAAAAAUGAAAAUGGAAUCAGGAAAGGUUUUGCCGACUCCUGAAAGAUGCUGGUAAUAGAUGAAUCAACAAUUGCUGUACCUUAACAGCAUUGAUCCUAUCAUGUGCUGAGUUGUCCUGCAUUCUAUCUGGUCGAUUUAGCUGGUGGACAUCAAGACCACAAGAUGCCAAUUCUGAAGCACGCGCAGUCCCUUGGUAUUCAAAGUUGUGGCAUGUAAAACAUAUUCUACCUGAGUUUAAUCCCUUUGGAGCAUAUAGAUCCCAGUAAAGUGGUGCCUAAGAACAGCAACAAGUCAGUCACUGAGAGAACUAAGGCGGUCAAAGACAGCAUGGUAAAAAAAAUGAAGGGUUUAAUGGUCCAUACAACAAAAGCUGUCUGCCAAUCAUGGCAAUGAAUUAUGUCUGGUUUCUUGCCAGAUUGAAGAAGCAACUCAAGGGCUGCACGACUGAAAAAGGAAAAUCGCUUGAAAUCAUCACGUUCCCCAUAAAAUUGUCCUCUCCAGAAGAACUUAUCAGGAUGUAGAGGCUCAAUAAAAUAAACUGGAAGACCUGCAUAAUCAACACUAGAGUGAGCAUCCAAGACUACAGUGCGAAUCCAAGACAAAAAAAGUCAUGCAAACAGAAACUUUCAAUGUACGAACCUUCAACAGUGCCAACCCACACUUUAUUUUUGAAUAGUCGACCAUCAAAGUAUGACUCCAGCACCACAUCUAGGGCCUGCAUGUUAACGUGUAAUGAGACUCAACUAGAAAAACAUCUUUUCUAAGAUUCAUUAAGUAUUCAGUUUACCAUUAGGUCAGGAACACGAUCGUACUGCAUGCAGUCAUAUUUGGGAAGUAUAAUUUCCACAAGGUGUCCCUUCUUCUGCAGUGCUUUACCAAGACCAGCCACAACAUCCCCCAAACCACCAACCUGUAAAAUUAACUAGUUAUGUUGAUGGUAUGUUUAUCAAACCAAAUGAAAGAUCAUUGAGUUGUCCCUAUACAUUUACACAAAUAUUAAUGCUUAACAAAUUCCUGAAUCUGAACUGCUGUAAUAAAAGUUAUUGUAGCUUGACAAGUAAGAAACCCCACUCAGUUAUCUUAAUAGAAUAAAGCAAAGAAAGAUACAGAUGUAUAAAGGCAAGCUAAUCUCACCUUAGCAACUGGUGCCAUCUCUGCUGCAAUAUGAACGACAUGCAAUCCUGGACUAAAAAUCAACAAAGUCGCAGAUUAAAUAGAAGCUUAAAUACGUAAACCCUGUAUUCUUCUAAUACUAGAACGUUCAUACCUUGUUUGUGAUGAUAUCAGUUUGAGAAAUGUAGACACAGCCUCAUUCACGUUCUUUUCCUUGCAUGCCAUGUAUGAGUCACGAAGUCGUCGAUCUCUCUUCCAGACCAUUUCUCUCAACACCUUGGCAUCAUCCAUUGAUAUUUUUUUCUCAAACAACCAACCAUCGAUCAUAAGCAAUAAACGACUCCAAAAUUCCCACGGCAUAUCAUCCACAGGUUCAUCAACUGCCCUUCUCUUGCUUUCUUCUUUUAGAGUAUUUAGUGUAUCUUGAAAUUCCUCCACAGAUUCUUGAUAUAAUUGAACAUAGGAAUGUAUCUCUUCGUCAGAUCUUUGAAGCCGGUCCUCCAUAAGUUUUAUCUUCUGCUGCAUUAGCUCAUUAUAUUGUUGCAUCUUUUCUGAUGAUUCUUUAUAGAUAUUAGCUGUUUCAAGAGAUUCUUCUAAUUUAUCAACUUUCUUUCGAAUCUCUUGGUUCUGCUGUAACACGGUAAUAGCUUGAUCUGCCUGUUUGGUUGACUUAUCUAGCAGUAGCUGCAAACUCUCCACCUUCUCCCAUAAUCCUUUGCAUUCGACUUUAAGAUUGGAUAGUUUGGAAACAUCUUCCUGAGAAACUGACAAUUUCAAUUCCAACUCUUUCAAGGCAGACUCUAAAGUCGACCGUUGUUUUUCCAGCAUUACCACUCGUUCAUCCGUAUUCUUCACAUAGCUAAGCUCCUCCCUAAGUGCUUCUACGUCACUCCUGAGGGAUUGAUUUUCUAAUCUCAAUGCAUUCAGAUUGGUAACAAGAGCAUUGAUACUAGUUCUGUAUGGUACAGGAGCUUCUUCAUUAAACAGCUCGUUUUCAUUCUCAAAAAUCUCCACCUGACCUCUUUCGACACCACCACCACUAUUAAGAUUCAGAUCAUUCCGCAUCUCAUCUAAUUGGUUUUCUAGAAGUUCCACCUUUAUUUUUUCCUGGGCAGCUACUCUAAUCCGUGCAUCGGUCUCUGCCAAUCUCAUUUCCAAUGCAUUCAUCUCUCCUUGCAAUGCCUCCUUCUCGCCAAGAAUCUUGUCAAGGUCUUCAAGCGCAUUAACCCGCGCUUGGUUGAGAAUAUGGAUAUCUAAGGCCACAAAGAUAUAUACACAUUUCACAAAUCUAAUAGAAGAGGCAUAAACAGUAAGGCCUGUUUGGGACUGCUUUUAAAGACUAAAAGCACUUCUGACCACAUUUGAAAAAGAAAAAAACUUAGAAGCACUUUUACAUAAGUCAAGUGCUUUCUCAACUGCAUUUCAAAAAUCAUUUGAAUUUCUAAUAGAAAUUUCGAAGUUUUCUAAUAAAGGUGCUAGAAGUGCUUAUGCCUGGAAGUGCUUCUAACAAAAGCAGUCCCAAACGGACCCUACAUGAAACCAAAUGAACAGGGAAGAGAAAUAUCAUACUUUUCUCUGCAUUUCUAAUCAUGUCAACCAAAUCCUGUGUACUAUACGCCUGUAAAGCCAACGAGUAAUCAAAUUUAUGAAAAUUGAACAAAUAUGUAUAUAAGAACCCUUGAGUUUCGAAAAGCAAAGGCGAUGAGUUACCGAAGGAUUUGCUUCAUCAGACGGAGUCAGAGCCGUCGAAAUCGAAUCGUCUCCAUUGGCAGUGCGAGCUUCGUCAUCAGAUACGCUUUCAAUGGGGACGACUACGCCCGCCGAAGAAGCAUUUUCAGAUUCGGAGUCGUCGUCGCCAUUGAGCUGGAAAUCUGCAGUCGUCGAAGACUGUUCGACCGAGUCUUUCUUCUUCAGUCUCUGCCUCUUAUUCACGCAAUAGCAACUUCACAAGUUUGAAAUUGAAUCAAAAUCAUCAUCAAUCACUUGAUCACGCAGAUUGAACUUUGAGAAUUUGAUCGAUAAACGAGCUCAGAUAGAAGAGAGAGAGAGGGACCUGAGAUUGCGGUGCCGGAGCUUGCAGGAUGAAGCGGGAGUGCAGUGAAAUGAAAAGCGGGAGCUCGAAUUUGAGCAGUGCCUGGAGGUGGAGUUGGAGCCGCUAAUGGUGAGCCCCUGAGUUACGAACCAGGUCGUUAGCCUGACCGCCAUUGAUGAUCAACUCAAGCUUUCUCUCUCCUCUUUCCGUGGAGAGAGAGAAGAAGGAGUGAAUGAGUAAUAUUAUCUCUUUCUUCUCAUCGUACGACUCGCGGUGUGUCCAGGCAGAAGCAAUCUCCGGUCCAAGGAAGGUAUUCGAAUCUUCUCCCCUCUUUAUUUUGUUAUUUUUUAUUUCAUUUUUCACGGAUUCAGUUUCUAGAUCAUUCUCUCCGUUGGAUUAGUGGGAGUUAGUCAAUAAUAAUUUAAAAUUAUUAAAAUACAUAUGUGAGUCUUUCUCAUUUUAAAAAGCAAAUUGACGUACCAGAACCGCUCGUUAAUUUAUGAAAUGAAAAAUUAAUUUGUCGUUAAUUUGUUACGAGAUAGCUCAUAUUCUAAAAAAUAAAAAAAAAUGAAUUGGAUUAGUGAGCAAUAUUGAGGAGGUGAGGCGUAAAAUGUAGAUGAAAAGUUGGGCGCAUCACACUCUUAUCCAAAUCGAAUGGUGAUGGGUGUGGGUAUAUCAUCUUCAGAUCCCUUCAAUUAAAUCUUGUUAAUCAAUCAAUUCGGAUUUUUGAAAUUUAAUUCAACGGUUAAAAAUAAGGGAUCUUUUUAAAAAUUAUAAUAACUUUAACUGUUAGAUCAAAUUUCAAAUGUCCGAAUUUGUUAAUUGACAGGAUUUGAUGUAAGGGAUCCGAAAAAUAUCUCUUUCCGUCGGUCAAAGGUCCAUAUUGGGCCCUUCCACAAAAUUUGGAACUUAGGUCACAUGAGAUCAGUUCCACUCCUAGGGACAUUAAUUGUCGUCAUUGUCACCUAAAGGGUUUAAACUUGUGAAAUUGCAACAUUAAUUGUUACAAUUAAUUAUUGUCAUCGUUGUUACCUUUUGGGGCUGAAAGUUACUAGUUAAUUAACUUUAAUUUUUUUGCAUUUUUACUGAUUGGGCUUUGGCUAUUCCUAUUUUGUUGGGCUAAUUUAAUGUAUUUAUAUUGGGAUGAAACUGCUUACUUUGUUUUCGACCCAAAAAAAAAACAAAUAUUAAGUCUUGGGUGCUCGGAUUCAGAUAAAUAUUUAUUAGUUUUGCUCGAGG
rnacentral:lncRNA from 1 species